rnacentral:lncRNA from 1 species
UGGAAACUGAAGCACGGUAGAGAAAUUCAUCAUGGGAGGGAGGAGCUGAAAACCUGAGCAGAGUGUAAGAUCCAAGAGGUCAUGGGCCUUUUUCUUUCUUUGUUUGCCAUGUUAUCUCCAACAUCUGGAACAGAGUCUGGCACAAAGGCUUCCGUGAAUUUGGAGAUUUUUCUGAGCUGGGAGGUGACCAAACAUAUCUACUUCUUUGAUCUCAACACUUCCUGAAAAACAGAUACUAACAACCAAGAUUUUCAGAGAGGCAAGGCUAAGCACCAGCCAGGUCCUCCAUCUUCCAACCCCAAAAUUCAUCCAGAAUGUACCAGGAUGGGGCCUAGAAGUCAACUUCAAACUUUGAUCUUCAAUCCUACAAAGAAUGAUCAUCUCAGAAAACUUAGGGCAAAAGUAAAUAUGCAUGGAUUUACAAAAAUCUCACUCUUUCACCCAAGUUCUUUUUUAGUAGGCAUUACAAAAAACUGGCCAGAAAUCCCACCCUGGGAAAUCUAAUAGAAAUAAAAGCUCUUAUACGUAA